rnacentral:rRNA from 1 species
AUUGUUCGCAAUGGGCGCAAGCCUGACGACGCAACGCCGCGUGGAGGAUGAAGACCUUCGGGUCGUAAACUCCUUUCGAUCGAGACGAAUGGGUUCCGGGCUAACAUCCCGGGAUAUUGACGGUACCGAGAGAAGAAGCCCCGGCCAACUACGUGCCAGCAGCCGCGGUAAUACGUAGGGGGCGAGCGUUGUCCGGAUUUAUUGGGCGUAAAGAGCUCGUAGGCGGCUUGGCAAGUCGGGUGUGAAAACUUCAGGCUCAACCUGGAGAUUGCACUCGAUACUGCUAUGGCUAGAGUCCGGUAGGGGACCACGGAAUUCCUGGUGUAGCGGUGAAAUGCGCAGAUAUCAGGAGGAACACCGGUGGCGAAGGCGGUGGUCUGGGCCGGCACUGACGCUGAGGAGCGAAAGCGUGGGGAGCAAAC